rnacentral:rRNA from 1 species
CCCUUAGAUGUCCUGGGCUGCACGCGCGCUACACUGAUGUGUCCCGUAAGCACCUAACCUCUUCCGAAAGGAACGGGUAACCUUUGCAAAGCACAUCGUGAUGGGGAUAGAUUAUUGCAAUUAUUAGUCUUGAACGAGGAAUUCCUAGUAAGCACAAGUCAUCAGCUUGUGUUGAUUACGUCCCUGCCCUUUGUACACACCGCCCGUCGCUCCUACCGAUUGAAUGUUCCGGUGAGCUCUUCGGACUGCGCGGUCUGCAGUUUCUGCGUUCCGUGCGGAAAGUUGCGCAAACCUUAACAUUUAGAGGAAGGAGAAGUCGUAACA